rnacentral:ncRNA from 1 species
GCUGUGGAGUGUCAUACAAACCUGAGUAGCUUCGGCAAAAGGGGACACGAUGAAGCAGUGA